AUUGAACGCUGGCGGCGUGCUUAACACAUGCAAGUCGUGCGGUAACAGGCGUAGCAAUACGUGCUGACGAGCGGCGAACGGGUGCGUAAUACAUGGGAAUCUGCCUUUUAGUGGGGAAUAACCCGGCGAAAGCCGGGCUAAUGCCGCAUAAGAUCUUCGGAUGAAAGCGGGGGAUCGUAAGACCUCGCGCUGAUAGAUGAGCCCAUGCCGGAUUAGCAGUUGGUGAGGUAACGGCUCACCAAGGCGACGAUCCGUAGCUGGUCUGAGAGGACGGCCAGCCACACUGGGACUGAGACACGGCCCAGACUCCUACGGGAGGCAGCAGUGGGGAAUAUUGGACAAUGGGGGAAACCCUGAUCCAGCGACGCCGCGUGUGUGAAGAAGGCCUGCGGGUUGUAAAGCACUUUCGGUGGGAACGAAAUA
rnacentral:rRNA from 1 species